rnacentral:lncRNA from 1 species
UUUAAAAUUACUGAAAGAAUUAGCAAAUUUCUGAUUUAUAUAAAAUUACCAAAUGUUACAAGUCAUAAAAAUUGCUUAAAAAAGAUGAAGUCAUUUAACAAAUAUUGCAUCAUAUUAGAAAGCCUUCCACCAGUAGUUCAUUAUUCGUCCACCUAUAUAAUAUUACACGAAAUAUGAGACUCUAAUAUUUACGACAUGCUAUGAUAUCAUUGUAAAAUUUAGAUCGGAUAUAGUUCAAUUGCACAAAAAUGAAUUAUAAGGUUGGAGAUAUACCUCUUUUUUAUAAAUUUAUCAAUAAUCAAUAUUUAACUUUCAGCAUAGCCAGUCUUUGGAAUAGUUAAAAUGCAAAAAAAUUACACUGCCUUGCAUUUUAAGGGUUUUUGGUUUUUGUGGGGGUACAAUAUGAAUUGGAUAUAUUCUAUUGUCCUUAAAAUUAUAUUGUUGUUUCACAUUGGUCUUGUUUUUUGUCAUUAUUUAAUGUCUAAUACGUAGGUCCGCCGCAGUAAUAAUAGUCGACAUGAGUAGGAUAGGAUAGCUUUAACUUUAACCAUUCGUUUUGGCUUGUGUGAAACAUGCCGCAAAUUUGUAUGUUCCCUCUCUAUCGCGGUUAAUGAUAUUCUACUUCCAAGUUGAAAAAUGAGCCAAAUGCAACAGCAUAUACUACCUCCGUCCCAUAAUAUAAGCAAAAAAAAUCACUUUUUCAUGUCCCAAAUUAUAAGCAAAAAAAACUAACUUUUAUCAUUUCCAAGAUAAACUUUUACUUAAUUUACUCUCUCUCUUCUUUUCCCCAUAAUCAAUAACCAAUAAAAACUAUUUUUAUAUCUUCCCAUGAAACUUAUUUCAACAAACACACAAAAAGUCAACCUUAAAAUUAUCAUAUUUUACUUUUCUUAAUAAGUGUGAAAUUUUUUUUUUGCUUAUAUUAUGGGACAGAGUAGUAUAUUAGAUAUAUAAAUUAUUUUAAGAUUUAAAUUGAUAGGGACAUCGUACUAAUAUUAUAUGUGCAGGAGUCGGAAUUCGAAUCUCGGAUCAAAUACGGAUCCAGACAUAAAAUUUUGGUCUGGCCAAAAUCUUAAAGAAACUGCAUUAUAUUGAAAACAAGAUAUAAUAUUGUUAAGGGAAAUACAUUUACAAUGAAAAUCGUCUACUAUUCAUUUCUUGAAAAUGAGUUAAAAUAAUAUCAUUGUCAAUUGUUCCGAGAACAUCUUUUAAUUAAAGAAGAGAAGAAUUGACAAUCACAAUUGAAAAUCAAAAAGAAAAGAAAGGGAGAGGAUUGAUUCUCACCUGAAUUGAAUCUGACGAAGGAGAAGGAGGAAGAAUGGGAAGAACGGUGUAUGGAUGACAAUGGCGAUGGUGGACUGGACAGUGGUUCAACAUUUCAAGGAGUGAAGGAGAGGAGUCGAUAAGCAGUGAAAGACACCCGUACCAAGCUCGGACUAUAAUUUUUUUUUUUUGACAAAUUUGACAAAUGCUUAUUUUAAAAUUAGUGAAUAUUUGAGAAAUGAAAAAUUAAGGGUUUGAACAUGCAUCAAUUAUGUAUGAGGUUCAAAUCCCGGCUCCUGCAUAAUACAUGCGACGUCCUUAACAAUU